GGGGAUGUGGCUCAGCUGGGAGAGCGUGGCGUUCGCAAUGCCAAGGUCAGGGGUUCGAACCCCCUCAUCUCCA
rnacentral:tRNA from 1 species